rnacentral:piRNA from 1 species
UGCUGGCCAGCAGCAGGAGGUGGACCCACC